GAUGAACGCUGGCGGCGUGCCUAACACAUGCAAGUCGAGCGAGAAAUAAAGAAAUGAAGCUUCGGUAGAUUUUCUUUAUGGAAAGCGGCGGACGGGUGAGUAACGCGUAGGCAACCUGCCCUGUACAGGGGGAUAGCCACCCGAAAAGGUGAUUAAUACCCCAUAACGCAAGAGAUACACAUGUAUCACUUGUCAAAGAUUUAUCGGUAUAGGAUGGGCCUGCGUCUGAUUAGCUAGUUGGUAGGGUAACGGCUUACCAAGGCAACGAUCAGUAGCCGACCUGAGAGGGUGAUCGGCCACAUUGGAACUGAGACACGGUCCAAACUCCUACGGGAGGCAGCAGUGGGGAAUAUUGCACAAUGGGCGCAAGCCUGAUGCAGCAACGCCGCGUGAAGGAUGAAGGCCUUCGGGUUGUAAACUUCUGUCCUAGGGGAAGAAACAAAUGACAUACCCUGGAGGAGCCCCG
rnacentral:rRNA from 1 species